rnacentral:misc_RNA from 1 species
UAAUAUAUUGCAUGUUUCGUAAAAAAAGUUCCCAUUAGAGUAAGAUAAACCGAUGAAAGAUAUAAUCCGUAGGUUGAGAAAAAGGAAAAGAAAAAAUAAAAAUCCCCGGUCAUCGGUCGUCACCGGGCAUCAUCAUCACCACCAUCAAGAACAACGACUUGGCGUGUGUCUGCUGCUGAUAGUUAGACGUCCGACGAGCUUGAUGUUGCCGAGCGAUUUAAUGGUGGUGGGGUAGAAGAAUUACUUGGGAGUGGUGCUGAGAAUGGUUUGAAUGGGGGUAAGAAGACGCCGGGGGAACCUUUGGAGUGGGGUUUUAAGCGGAAGUGAUGGGGGUAAUCAAGAGGCACGUUGCCCUUGGACGCGCAGUGCCAGUCGGGAACACAGAGUCUUUGCAAUAGGAUUUCAGUGUCGGAGCAACUGGUCCAUCGUGUCUCAUAAAGACCGGGAUAAUAUACAAAGCACGUGGUGAGGAAUGUAAUCUCCGAUGAGAAUCACCGAAUCUUUAACCGUGUACGCAGCGUUAAACAUCUCAACAGGUAUAUUAACGUCAACGUAAAAAGAAGAUACGCGCGUACCGGCAACUUCUAAGAGCACUAGAAGAGGCCACAGAGCAGGCUUCUGUAAUCGAUGGGUUGAGAACGCGAAACUCGUGCCUUCCACCUUUUUCUUUUCUUCGUUACCAAGGUGCUUAGCUUACCGAUGAGCCAUGCUGAAGGUAGUGGGCGCUUCUUGGCUGCAAACGCGCAUCUCCACGUACAUUCUUGUCGCCGUCGCUCUUCUUGGCGUCGGCGCCAUCAUUCUUGGUGAAUUUGGACAUGUUGAGAAAGAUGGGACAUACUCAGCAACUGUGUCGUGGAAUCACAAGGGAGGAUACCGUAUUGACUUUUGGGGCCAAGGCAAUGAUCUUACAGCUAUUUCAUUAAAUGCCGCACGUGCAUAUUACAAGACUGGAAUUUUAGAAAAUGGGUGGUCUAUCAUUGAAAUUGAAACAUCGGCAAAAUAUCCGGACACAGUACAAGCAUAUGCGGCAGGCCUUUUGGAAGGUAGUUUAACGUGGCAAUUGAUACACCAUCAUUGGUACAACACCAUCAAUGUAAUAUGCAAUAAAAAUCCAGUCGAAUGUAGAAAAUCACGACGGUAUCUUCGGGAGAAUGCAGCUGUGAUACGCGAGCGUGCUGAGUUGUUGGAAUCUAAGGACUCGUUUUGGCAUAUGGUACGAUUGUUUUAUGCACAAUUGGAUGGUUUGGAAGUUGGUUGGCGUUUCGCGGUACGUCGCAGUCGUCAAUCGGCAGAAAUACAAACGGAAGAUUUUCUUUGGCUAGCAAUGGCUUCUGAUUUAUCCUACGACGAUUUAACAUUGAUCAAUGGAUCGAACACCUCGAUCGGCGAAAAAGGCAUGAUUUUUCUUAAAGCACUUGCCAGAGAAAAUAAGAAACAACCACCGCUUAUUGCAAUUGGACACAACACUGCUGCACCAUACGCCAAAAUGUUGAGACUUUUGAAAAGAUACAAAUUCAAUUAUCAUGUAUUGCCUGGGUCAAAAAAUGUAGCACUAAUACCAACUAAAUCGAUCAUCAUGUCUUCAUAUCCUGGAGCGCUUUCCUCGCACGAUGAGUUUUAUUUAAUGACAUCUGAAAAUCGAGAGUUGAUAGUUGCUGGUAUGCCAUUGUCAGUUCCAACUCGUGAUCCUUGGGAUUUUGCAAGUCUGGAAAAUCAAGUAAUGUCGUCCAUCAGAGUAAUGGCAGCAAAUCGUUUAGCAACGGAUAGCAAAUCGUGGUCUAAAGUUUUAACUUUUCAAAAUGGUGUCAAUUCGAUGCACCAGUGGAUCACAUACGAACCAAGAUCCGCCAACGUUUGGUUAAUCGAACAAUUAGGAAGUAUCACUCACGUUGCCGAUUAUACGAAAAAUUUGACCGAUAGCGGUGUUAUCCUUUGUACUGGUUUACCAUAUUUCCAAGAGAUCGAGAAAGCAGCUGGUACUAUCAACGAGGAUGAUCUUUUAACGAGGAAACGUUAUUUGAUGCAGUCGCAAGAGAACAUUACUAUAAUGGAACAUGUUAGAAAUUUUAUGCGAGGCGGCUACAGCAGCCAAGAAGAGAAGUCGUCCACUCUAGAGAAUAUUAAUGAAACUUAUCGUUUGAAUUUAUCUCAAAUCCGAACUUACAGAGGUGACUUGGAGAAGCCGCCGUUACCGAUGGGUGUCAUCGACAGCAAAAUAAUAGCCGCCGAUCUGAACGGAUUGGAACUGUUCGAGGCUACUUCCGGUCCGGUUCGUUUCAACGAAUUAACAUCCCCCUUUCAAUGGUCUAAAUCAUUUCCAAAUAUUUCACACAUUAUGGGUCAACCGGAUGUCUUCGACUUCGACAGCGUUACACCUUUGUGGGUUUGGAUUUAAUGCAACGAGAAUUAUGACAAACUACUACGAGAACGUACAGAGAACAACAAUUUGGGAAAACUUAGCAAUCUCUCUCGUUGCUUUUAGAUAUCUCUAAGUCUUCUGCAAACAAACUGCCACAAUUCAACCUCGGUGACAAAAACAUAAAAUACUUAUGUACGUUCUUAAACAACAACGAAUCUUCAUUAAGCAUAAUUUAUUCACGCUGAAAAAAUCCUUCUUCUCUCCUUCAUAUUUAUCGCUUUCGCAGCUGGCUCAUAUGUCAGCUACCUUUGGUAAACUUUUUAACGAAAUAAAUGAAUCAAUAA